rnacentral:rRNA from 1 species
UCCCCUGACAACCCAAGAGAUUGGGCGUUCCCCUUCGGGGGGACAGGGUGGCAGGUGGUGCAUGGUUGUCGUCAGCUCGUGUCGUGAGAUGUUGGGUUAAGUCCCGCAACGAGCGCAACCCUCGCCUCUAGUUGCCAGCAUUCGGUUGGGCACUCUAGAGGGACUGCCGGCGACAAGUCGGAGGAAGGUGGGGAUGACGUCAAAUCAUCAUGCCCCUUAUGACCUGGGCUACACACGUGCUACAAUGGGCGGUACAAAGGGCUGCGAACCCGCGAGGGGGAGCGAAUCCCAAAAAGCCGCUCUCAGUUCGGAUUGCAGGCUGCAACUCGCCUGCAUGAAGCCGGAAUCGCUAGUAAUCGCGGAUCAGCAUGCCGCGGUGAAUACGUUCUCGGGCCUU